UCAUACUGUCUGUCUGUGUCUCAAAUAAAUAAAAAGAAUCUUUUUAAAAAAAGCUUUCUAUGUUGUCUUUUUUUGCAUUCAGUUUCAGUUUGUUUAACUGAAUUGAGUGAGAAUCCUGUGAUCACUCCCUCCCUGCCUGGAAGAUUUCGACGUCGAUCACUUUGUGUCUGACUGUAGGAAGCGUGUCCAGCUGGAGGAACUAAGAGGAGAUCUGGAACUCUACUAUAAACUUUUAAAACAGCCAUGGUCGAGCUCAUCAACAAGGAUUAUGCAGAUUUUGUCAACCUUUCCACAAACUUGGUUAGCAUGGAUAAAGCCCUCAAUCAACUUUCUGUGCCUUUGGGACAGUUACGAGAAGUUCUGAGUCUCAGGUCAUCUGUCAGUGAAGGAAUUCGGGCAGUAGAUGAACGAAUGUGUAAACAAGAGGACAUAAGGAAAGAAAAAGAUGUGUGUUGAGGCUUAUACAAGUUAUUUGAUCAGUUGAAAAGAUUGAAAAAAUCUUAAGUUCACAAAGUUCUAAAGAAACCUCUGCACUAGAAGCAAGCAGGUAAGCAUUUUUUUUUUAACUAAGUAGCACAUAAAUUAAUACUUCACAUCCAGUCUAAUUAGGCGGGGACGGCUUAGUUAGAAUUCAUUUCUGAACAAGAAGAAAAUCCAGGUUUGUGGCUAGAAUGUAGCUCCAGGAGAGUGGAGAGCAUGAAAUGGUGAAAUCUAUAACACGUUCCUAUAAACCCUUUGGUUAUAGACCACAGUUCCAACACGUCAUUAUGCUUGCAGUGGAAAAGUAUAUUUGGAAUCACCUUCCCUGAGGACUAGCAAAGUCCUGUUGAUCUUUAAGGCAUACCUACCAUUCAUCUUGGUUUUUCUCCAUCUCAUUUUUUUUCCCUAGACAUGCCCAGAGUAUUACCAUUGAUGUAUUUUGCACCAGCAUUAUAUUAUUAUGAAACAGUAUAGGACGCAUCCAGUUGAAAUUUACAAACAGGAAAGAAAAAGCUUAUGAAAUAGGAAAAAGAUGAUGGCUCUCUUUAGUUAUACUGUGAUUGUCUUGUUCCCUUCCUGGUGUGAAUUUUCAAUCAGCCAGGGUAGAUGAGUGACUCAGAAAAUGAGUAGUUAGGUCCUGUCAGCACCGUGAGACACACAGUGGUGCAGUGGGAGUAGCCCGGGCUGGUCCUGCACAUACCAGCUGGGCUGCCUGCGUCAAGGUCGCCUGGUGCCCUGCGUGCCCUGCGUGCUCUGUUGUGUGAGGCUAACAGUCCCUCCCCCUGCAGGCGGAGUUAGGUUUCUAAAUUUCAGGAAUUAAGGUUUUAGAUUUGGAAGGAACUUGAGAGACCAUAUGCUCCACAUGUCUCAUGAUGGAGAUUAAGAACGGACACAUCCCAAAGGAAGCGAUUCUCUGGUCCUAGGUCUCUGCCCCCUUUCACAUCAAGGCAUUCAACUAAGUGGUCAGCCUCCACUGUGCUUGUGUCUCUAGCCCGUUGCACUCGUGCUUCUGCCCCAGGUCGUCCACACUUAGCUGACAGUCUGUACGCGGCCCUUCUGCAGCCCGUGUGUCUCCAGCGGCUCUGCUUCGCUGCGGCCCUUGGCAGCACCUGCAGCCCCUCCAGCCAUGUCCACGUUCGGCCCCUGGGGAGCUGGCCCUCCAGUGUUCUUCCCGUCUUUGCUGUUGCUGCUGUGCUCCUCGGAUAGAAACACCUCAGUGAGCUCUGUGUCUACAAUCCUGUCCCUUUGCAACACUGUCCUUGAUAAACAGACAUUGUGCGCUUUCUUGCUCAGAAUUACCUUGGAGGACUUUUUUCUCCAGAAGAGCAGCUCUGAGCUCUGGAGUCAGGAAAGCCAGAGCAGCGUCAGCGCACGGUAAAUCCAUCAUGCUCUGCUAGGCCCAGAAAUGCCGAGAUAAGGAUAAAUAGGAAAUGCGCAUGGGAUCAGUCAGUAGAGGUUGGGAUUAGGCUUCGGCAUUGGUCGUGCUGAGCGCCUGCCUUCCCUCCACACCAGUUACUGCUCCUGGGACGGGGCACACCGUGGCAGGUCUCCAGACAUUUUUGGGUUUCCUUACAGUGUGUUUCCUCACUACCUGACUGCCCAUCCUCAGAUGUGGGAUGCCUCAUAGAGCCCAGCAGGGGCUUUGGGGCCUUUGUUGUGUGUUUUUUUUUUUUUCUUUCACUGUUCGGCUUCCUUUUGAAUGGGGUUGACGCUUUCUAAUGUGGGGGGCAAGAGGGAAGUGUAUCCAGUCCACUUGAUGGCAGAUGCACUGUGAGUGAUUUCUCACCAGCUCCCAGAGCACCGAGCUUGCUCUUUCUGCCAGUUGGGUAAAUGUAAACUUGGAGUCCGCUGCUCUGAGCGAUUUCCCAGGUUGCUGCUAGGCGGUCAGUUUUAGCUGAUUGAGGAGACAGCAGUAGUUGGUACUGGGGAGGUACUUGGGAGGGAGAAUGAGGCAGGCGGAGAAGAAGAGGGGGAUUCGGGUAUGAACGGUAGGACAGGGCAAGAGAGAGGAGGGGGUUAGAGAAUGGGAGGAGAAGGGAGAAGAAGGGCACGAAUGGGAGAGCCCGAGGAACGUGGUGGAAACAUGCAGUUGUACCCACACUGACCUAAAAUAGCUCCAUCCCCUUGCCUGGGCCCUGUGGCCCGGGCCAGGCUGCGUCGGUGGCUUCUAUGACCUCCCCGCUCCUCACCCCUCGCACCUGGGGCCUGCUGCACAGACAGUUUGUCCUGAAAUUUGAUGGCGUGCAGGUGCCUGAGCGCUGUAAGGCAUGGGGGGGCGGUGGGGGUGGCAGGUUUUAACUUUGGGAAUUACACUUCUCUAAUUGUCUCUACUAGCCCUCUCUGGACUAGAGAGAUUUUGGAGAGAAUUGCCACAGAAUUUAACCAGUUACAGUUUCAUGCUGUUCAGAGCAAAGGCAUGCCUCUUCUGGACUAAAGUAAGACCACGAAUAGCCCACAUUACGGCCAUGCUGCAGCAGUCCCUGGGAGGCCUGCUGCUAGAAGGGCUUCAGACUUCCAAUGUGGACAUCAUACGGCACUGCCUCCAGACUUACGCUACAAUUGACAAGACACGGGAUGCAGAGGCGUUAGUUGGUCAAGUACUGGUGAAACCGUACAUGGAUGAGGUUUGUGCCCCCAUGCACCUCAUUCCACAAACACAGAGCAUCUAAUCUGGCUUCGUUUCUUGACUGGGUGCGAGAGAGCUCAGGGCUCUUCCUUGAAGAUGCUCUUAGUUCCUGCUCUUCUGGUUGUAAGAAAAGGUUGGUCCCGCUUGGAGCCCAUCAGCAUGGCAGGAAUCAGGCAUGCGCUCUGGUCUCUUCCAGUGAUGCCAUAACUCAGGGAUCAUCUUAAUUUAGUAGGGGUGAGGGACUUGCCUAGGAAGAAGGUACGGAUCAGAACAUUUUCAGGUCAAUUUCCAUUUCCAUAAGUUAUACGUUAAUGAAGUUGCCGAAAAGCGUGACCCCACCAAGGCGCCCGUGCCCACUGGAGGAGCUGGAAGACAGCUCUGUGCGCAGGGAAAGUCUGUGAGGGGAGGCGUCUUCGCAGAAUUGAUGUGGCCUAAGUCUUGAAGACCAUGGGGGAGUUUGCCAGGCUAGGAAGGUGGGAGGGAGGGAAUAUUCAAAGAUAAAGGGCUUUUAAGGGCGAGUUAGCGGGGUAGUACCUUAAGUCCGGAACUUGGUUACCCAGUGUUCUUGACCUAUAAGGAUACAGUUAAAUACAGGGAGUCAGUGUAUGCUGCCUCUGCGCGGCCGGAGUAUGGGCUGCACCAUGUGAGGCCGCCAGCAAUCAGCAGCUUCCAACUUAGAGAGCGUCGGUUUCAUCUAGUUCAGGCUGACAGAAGUCAUGAAGCCAGUCUCAGCGUUUGAGGGCUUUCUUCCAGUCACCUGCCAGUGCGAGUGUUCUUUCUGUCCGGUAAGUAUAAAGCUACCCACCAUGACUUCAGGAUGAAAGGCUUCCAGUUUUAAAACGAGACAGUAUCCCAGUGAUAGAAGUGAAAUUGAAGGAUUAAUUUCAGUAAUCUUCUCAGCUUCAUUAAGACUACUAAAAGUAAAUGAUCUGUCAGUUCUUUGUAUGUAUCCUAUUAUAGUUCAUAGCUCUCUCUGUGGGGGUGAAAAAGAUCACAUUAUUCUUUGACACUAAAUGAAAAUAUUUUAGUUAUUUAAUUUAUGCCCUUUUCAUUGAACUGAAUCUAAUAUGCUAAAUUAGGGAAGUACUUUACGUUUCCGUGUCGUUAAAUGAACUGUGGCCACGUUUGUAUUUUAAGUUUGUAUGCUUGUCAUUCACCUCCUGCAACUCAGCCUCACCAAAAAAAA